CCCCCCCGACUCUCGUCUCUCUCUCGACGAGUCGCCACGCGACCUCACCCUGACCCAGUAACCACCCCCGCAGGCAGCGGUCGACACGGGUUUGAAUCGUUUGAUUGGAAAGCAAAAAACAGAAAGAUUCAGAGACAAUGGCAAUGCCAUGGGCCAUGACCCUUUGGAUGGCAAAGAUGGUGUGGGUGGCUCUGACUGGCUGGGUCUCUUCUUGCUUGAUCGUUGCUGAUGAGGUUGCCAGCUCUCUCAGAACCGGCGAUAUUGGUCCUUUCCAUGUUGGCUGAUUGGGUUGUCGAAUUCGACACUAUCUGGGUUUGUCUCUUGGAACCCUGCUAGUUGUUUCUCAUAUGUGAUACUAAUAUCCCUUUCUAUGAGCAGAGCCCAAAAGCUACCAAGAAAAGCAUAUUGGGGGGAUUGAAUAUCUGAGGCGUGGGGAUGUAAAACUGCCUCUGAUUUUCUAUGUAACUCUGAAUUUACGGCUUGUAAUUGGUGCCGUAAUGUUUGCAGCACCAACUUUGUAUAGUAACUAUAGGUGCUCAAUGUUUUGAUGCCAAAUUCUUGGUUACGUAAGGUUUCUUUUAUGUGAGAGUGUUUUCAUGAA